GGCAGUUUGGCCGAGUGGUUAAGGUUAGACCGCCCAGAUUCUGCCAAACCAGAAUAAAUUAGACUAACAAAAUUAAUAGGCGCCAGACUUAAGAGAAUUCUGAAUUCUGGUCACGAAAGUGUCGUGGGUUCGAACCCCACAGCUGCCA
rnacentral:tRNA from 1 species